rnacentral:rRNA from 1 species
UACGAGUGCUCCAAGCGUUAUCCGGAAUUAUUGGGCGUAAAGGGUGUGUAGGUUGUUGUGUUAGUCUUUUGUUAAAUUCUUCGGCUUAACCGAGGAACUGCCUCCCAAACUGCUUGGCUGGAGACCGGGAGAGGUGAGUGGAAUUCCCAGUGUAGCGGUGAAAUGCGUAGAUAUUGGGAGGAACACCAGUGGCGAAGGCGGCUCACUGGACCGGUACUGACGCUGAUGCGCGAAAGCGUGGGGAGCAAACGGG